AUUAGCUUGAUUUCAUCCCUCAAUCCUCCAAUAAACCCAGAUAAAAAAAAUAGGCUUCACUCAAUUUAGGCAUAAAUCUUUCCAUUGUCACCUUAAGGUCUUACAACCUAUCUUGAUUGUCUCCCACACUUCCCUCUUGUCCUAGCCUCAUAAAUUCCUCAACCACAUCUUCAAAACCUUGCUCCCCAAACCUAUUGCAUAUUGCUACCUCAAACUCUUCCCAAGAUCCAUCAUUUUUGACUUAUUCCAAUUCUGGAACCAGGCAUCAGCUCUUCCCACCAUAUACAAACAUGUCAUACCCACCAUUUUAUCCUUUGGAACCCCCAAAACCUCAAAGUAUUUAAA
rnacentral:misc_RNA from 1 species